UGUGUAUAGACGGACAUCUUUCGAGUGCUGGCAAAUUUUGGUUUUGGUUUGAAUGUGCUGAUAGCUGCUUUAGCAUUUCCCCAAAAUGUGACCCCAUGUUUAAGGCCCUUGAAUAGCAGCCACUGUGCUAAUUAUUAACACACAAUCUCAUAUAUCUUCCAUGUCUAGUACCCCUGUUAUUGUAUAUGACAAUGCUCUAUCAAAUACUCUUGUCUAUCAACAUUCAUGAAAUGAUAGGGCAAUAUGUCACACCUGAAACUGAACAUGGAAAUAAGCCUUAUAUUGUCAGCUGUCUUUCAUCUGAGCCCUUUGGCAUCAUCUGCACUCAGGAACAUUGAUCAACCAGCUGUAAUUCAAAAGUGAAAGACAGCUUAUAAACAGCCAAGAGACCAUGAUGCUGAUGCAUUAUGAAUAGACUUUAAACAAGAACAAUAAUGAUGGAGAGAACGAGGGAGAUGAUUUCAACUGUCCAAGAAAUAUAAAUGAAUAUUAAAACAUGUACCAAAAGGUACUGCUCUGUAGAAUCUCGACUACUAUGUAGGAGUAACAGAACAAAUUUGUUAUUCAUUAUACAUGUUACAGGCACUGUAUGUGGAGCUGGAUCAGAAGCAAAAGGCCACUGUCAGUUUUCUUAUAGAUUGGUAAUAGCACAGUGUUAUUGUUUUACGUAUUUUCUAUAAUCAUAAAGCAGUUUAAAAUAUAUAUACUGCAUU